rnacentral:rRNA from 1 species
GGGGAAACAUACCAGGUCCAGACAUAGCAAGGAUUGACAGACUGAUGUAUUCAACGAGUAUAUAGCCUUGGCCGACAGGCCCGGGUAAUCUUAGGAAAUUUCAUCGUUAUGGGGAUAGAUCAUUGCAAUUGUUGGUCUUCAACGAGGAAUGCCUAGUAGGCGCUAGCAAUCAGCUCGCAUUGACUACGUCCCUACCCUUU